AAUUCGAUGCAACGCGAAGAACCUACCUGGUCUUGACAUCCCGGAGACCCUUAGGAAACUAGGGGGUGCUUCCAUCUGGAAGAAUCUGGAGACAGGUGCUGCAUGGCUGUCGUCAGCUCGUGUCGUGAGAUGUUGGGUUAAGUCCCGCAACGAGCGCAACCCUUGCCUUUAGUUGCCAGCAGUUCGGCUGGGCACUCUAACGGGACUGCCGGUGUUAAACCGGAGGAAGGUGGGGAUGACGUCAAGUCCUCAUGGCCUUUAUGACCAGGGCUACACACGUACUACAAUGGCCGAUACAAAGGGCAGCGACACUGCGAGGUGAAGCCAAUCCCGUAAAAUCGGUCUCAGUCCGGAUUGGAGUCUGCAACUCGACUCCAUGAAGUUGGAAUCGCUAGUAAUCGUGGAUCAGCAUGCCACGGUGAAUACGUUCCCGGGCCUU
rnacentral:rRNA from 1 species